UCCGGAGAUUUUUUUCUCUAGAGAAAAUUGAAAUCUUGGGCGAUUCUUUACUCUAGAGAUUUUUUUCUCUGUUUCCUCUUUGGUAAGUGAUAAUAAAAUCAUCCCUCUGCUUAUUUUCAAAAUCCUAGACUCAAAGUGGAAAAAAACUUCAAAAUCAGUUUGGGGUUUAUGAGAAUGACCUGAGUUGGUGAAACUGCUCAAAGGACCGGUAGCAAUGGAAAAGGAGUUGUGUGAGCUUUGAUUGCCCAAAUGCUUGGUGGUUUUCUUUUGGGUCUGCUCCAUUCUGGGUGGCACAUUGUUUUACACUAUCUUGGUCAAAUUGUUGUUUCAAUUUGUCGAAACAUUGCUUAGUAGGUGUAAUUUUGGAUCAAGAAUUCGAAUAGGAAGUUUUCUGUGACUUCACUUUUCUAUGCUUGUUUAACCAUAUAGUACGCACACUUACACUGAUCAUAGUGAUAGAGUCUCACGAGGCAUUGUGAUGUGAAGUUGUCUAUUUAUUUUCUUGUAGGAUGCUUGCAACAGGGUCCUUCUCGCUGUUCGAGUUUUUUUAUAUGCCAGCAAUAACUAUUAAAAGCUCAUCUUGCAGUCUUACUCAGAUCUCUCUCUAUCAAUCUUCAAGUUAAUUGAUCAUAAGCAGGAAGGUCAAUGAUGGUGUUGCAAAAGUUAUUGGACAAGAAGGUUAUAAUGAUGGUGUUGCAGAUGUUAUUGGACAAGCCAAUUACGCUGGUGGAACUGCUAGAUGUUGAUGAAGUGGGGCAGUUAUUAGAGUUGCUGAUGCUGAUGACGUUUCUGCUGGCACUGCUUCUAUUUCUACAGAUUCUGUUGCCACUGGAGCUCUGGCAUAGUGGUAAAGAAUCCUUCUUCUUCUACUGGUCUCGUUGCUGCUGCUGCUCUAGCAUAGUGGUGCUAGUUAUGUUAGUGGUGGUUGUCUGGCGCUGGUAAAGGAAAGUAAUUAUUCUUAGGACUUACAGACAGCUGACAUGAUUAACAAUUGAAUACGUAAAGUUUGAGGAUUCGAAUGGGCCAAAACUAGUUGCUGUCCAUGACUUCUACUAUUAUUAUAGAAUAGGAGAGUGCACAGUUUUGCAAACUCUAGUUUUUCACUUUUCUCUCCAAGUUUGUUGAACUUUUGGGGAAAAAAAUGUAUGUAUAUACGUAAAUCAAAGAGUAAGAAAUAUGUUGAAAAGUAAAGAUUUGGUACU